rnacentral:rRNA from 1 species
ACACAUGCAGUCGAGCGAGGUAGCAAUACCUAGCGGCGGACGGGUGAGUAACGCGUGGGAACGUACCCUUUGCUACGGAAUAGCCUCGGGAAACUGAGAGUAAUACCGUAUGUGCCCUUUGGGGGAAAGAUUUAUCGGCAAAGGAUCGGCCCGCGUUGGAUUAGGUAGUUGGUGGGGUAAUGGCCUACCAAGCCGACGAUCCAUAGCUGGUUUGAGAGGAUGAUCAGCCACACUGGGACUGAGACACGGCCCAGACUCCUACGGGAGGCAGCAGUGGGGAAUCUUAGACAAUGGGGGAAACCCUGAUCUAGCCAUGCCGCGUGAGUGAUGAAGGCCUUAGGGUUGUAAAGCUCUUUCAGUGGGGAAGAUAAUGACGGUACCCACAGAAGAAGCCCCGGCUAACUCCGUGCCAGCAGCCGCGGUAAUACGGAGGGGGCUAGCGUUGUUCGGAAUUACUGGGCGUAAAGCGCACGUAGGCGGAUUGGAAAGUCAGAGGUGAAAUCCCAGGGCUCAACCUUGGAACUGCCUUUGAAACUAUCAGUCUGGAGUUCGAGAGAGGUGAGUGGAAUUCCGAGUGUAGAGGUGAAAUUCGUAGAUAUUCGGAGGAACACCAGUGGCGAAAGCGGCUCACUGGCUCGAUACUGACGCUGAGUGCGAAAGCGUGGGGAGCAAACAGGAUUA